rnacentral:rRNA from 1 species
GUUGACCUCGGAUCAGGUAGGAAUACCCGCUGAACUUAAGCAUAUCAAUAAGCGGAGGAAAAGAAACCAACAGGGAUUGCCUCAGUAACGGCGAGUGAAGCGGCAACAGCUCAAAUUUGAAAUCUGGCCCUAGGCCCGAGUUGUAAUUUGCAGAGGAUGCUUUUGGUGCGGUGCCUUCCAAGUUCCCUAGAACGGGACGCCAGAGAGGGUGAGAGCCCCGUACAGUUGGACACCAAGCCUUUGUAAAGCUCCUUCGACGAGUCGAGUAGUUUGGGAAUGCUGCUCAAAAUGGGAGGUAUAUUUCUUCUAAAGCUAAAUACCGGCCAGAGACCGAUAGCGCACAAGUAGAGUGAUCGAAAGAUGAAAAGCACUUUGAAAAGAGGGUUAAACAGCACGUGAAAUUGUUAAAAGGGAAGCGCUUGUGACCAGACUUGCGUCCGGUGAAUCACCCAGCUCUCGCGGCUGGGGCACUUCGCCGGCUCAGGCCAGCAUCAGCUCGCUGUCGGGGACAAAAGCUUCAGGAACGUAGCUCUCUUCGGGGAGUGUUAUAGCCUGUUGCAUAAUA